UACAGAGACUGCAAGCGUUAUUCGGAUUCACUGGGCGUAAAGGGUGCGCAGGCGGCCAAGUGUGUGAGGCGUGAAAGCCUGGAGCUUAACUCCAGAAUUGCACCUCAAACUACUUGGCUAGAGCAUUGGAGAGGGUAGCAGAAUUCAUGGUGUAGCAGUGAAAUGCGUAGAUAUCAUGAGGAAUACCAGAGGCGAAGGCGGCUACCUGGACAAUUGCUGACGCUCAGGCACGAAAGCGUGGGGAGCGAACAGG
rnacentral:rRNA from 1 species